CCACCCACGGCGAUAGGCUCACCCCUUCGCUCGCUACUCCAAACACCGCAUCACUUCCCCCAUCUCAUCCUCCUCCAUGUCGCUCCUAAGGUUUCACCUUGCCCCUCUCGCCAUGGUUUGUUAACUUCCUCUCUUGGCUUCUCCCAGUUCUCGCGAUCCGCUUCCUCGGCACGAUUCCGCUUGCGUCCACGGAUCGCCGGGUCCGAUGGGGCGGAAGAAGAAGAAGAACAGAUUCCUCGACCUGCGCCCGCUAAUUUUUCAUCUCGUCUCUAGUUUUCUGCCCUCGUAGGGCCUAAGCAAGAGUAGGUUUUGGUGGAAUUAGCUCGCGGACAGCGUAGCUGUUGGUGGCAAUCGGUUGGAUCGGUGCGGAGAGCGAUGGAAUCGCUCCGUAGGAAGAGGAAAGGUACUAAGUCAUCGUCUUUCGUCGAAUCGAACUUGUCCGAUGACCGGAAGUGCAAGAAGAAGUGCCGGGAGAUGGAAAAGGUUGGAUCUCGCAAUGGCGGCGGUGGGGGAGUCGUGAUGACCGCCCCGCCGAUCGGGUGUUCGUUGCCGGGUACACCUGCGCGGGGUUUGAAGAGAAAGCUGGGAUGCAUCGACUCUGCCACUCGGAUAGGGCGGAAGAAGAAACUGGAACAUGAGUACGUUCUCGGUCGGGAGAUCGGACAGGGGAAGUUCGGGUCGGUGAGGCUGUGCCGGAGCAAGGCCAGCGGCGAGGAGUUCGCCUGCAAGACGUUACCCAAGAACGGAGGGGAGACUGUGCACCGUGAAGUGGAGAUCAUGCAGCACCUGUCGGGCCACCCGGGUAUCGUGAUGCUGAAAUCGGUGUUCGAGGACUCCGACUGUUUCCAUUUGGUGAUGGAGCUGUGCUCCGGUGGGCGGGUUUUGGAUCGGAUGAUUAAGGAAGGGAAGUUCUCGGAGCAGAGAGUGGCGAUGAUGCUGAAAGAAUUGGUUUUGGUUAUCAAGUAUUGCCAUGAGAUGGGAGUCGUCCACCGGGAUAUAAAGCCCGAGAACAUCCUGCUCACGGGGUCAGGGAAGAUAAAGCUUGCUGACUUUGGAUUGGCUGUGCGGGUUACUGAUGGUCAGAGACUAUCUGGUGUUGCUGGGAGCCCGGCAUAUGUUGCCCCUGAAGUUCUGUCAGGACAUUACUCGGAGAAGGCAGACAUCUGGAGUGCUGGUGUCCUCCUACAUGCUUUGUUGAUUGGGUCUCUCCCCUUUCAAGGGGAUUCACUGGAAGCAGUUUUUGAGGCAAUAAAAAAUGUGGAACUUAAUUUCCACAGUGCUGCAUGGGAUUCAGUCUCAGAGCUUGCACGGGAUCUAAUCAGUCGGAUGCUAACUCGUGACACUUGUGCAAGGAUGACGGCCGAUGAAGUCCUGAGACAUCCAUGGAUUAUAUACAACACUGACCACCCUUCGAUCGGAUCACCUAAUCAUUCGAGGAUCGUAUUUGAUUCGGCAAAUGUCUCUUUAACAUUGGAAAAUUUUGGUACUGAUUCAGAGUUGCAGGAUGAUUCCGGCUUUGUGGAUGCUCUUGCGGUGGCAAUCUCACGCGUCACUAUAUCGGAGUCUAAGCGGAGUAGGUUCUGUAACCCUGCUCCCCCAAUUGAACCAGAGUGCUCCUCUAACAUGAAGGCUAACCUCUGCACUGCAUUCUAAGUAGCCUGUGUCUCAUUCUGCUGAGAAGAUUGACUUCUCUCUAUUACUUGAUUUGGCGAUAACACCAAGGGUAGGGUUUGAAAGCCUACUUGUGUAUAUGGCUAAAUAUCGUAAGACUUACUACUGCAUCAGUGUAGUGUAAGCUGUACAGAAACAUGCAUAUUUCCUGUAAAGAAGAUGGACAAAUCUCGAAAGUGAAGUAACAACAGCACUACUCAUCUGUUAUCAGAUAUGCUUACAACAGUGUCAAGCAAAUAUUUAUGUGUAGGAUAAAUAUUGAAUCC